CGGGGGGCAGCAGUAGGGAAUAUUGGUCAAUGGAGGCAACUCUGAACCAGCCAUGCCGCGUGCAGGACUAAGGCCCUAUGGGUCGUAAACUGCUUUUGAACGGGAAGAAAUGUAUCUACGUGUAGAUAUUUGACGGUACCGUUAGAAUAAGGAUCGGCUAACUUCGUGCCAGCAGCCGCGGUAAUACGAAGGAUCCAAGCGUUGUCCGGAUUUACUGGGUUUAAAGGGUGCGUAGGCGGACUUAUAAGUCAGUGGUGAAAGCCUUCAGCUUAACUGAAGAACUGCCAUUGAAACUGUAAGUCUCGAGUUCGGUUGAGGUCAUUGGAAUGUAACAUGUAGCGGUGAAAUGCAUAGAUAUGUUACAGAACACCAAUUGCGAAGGCAGAUGACUAAACCGAAACUGACGCUGAGGCACGAAAGCGUGGGGAUCAAACAGGAUUAGAUACCCGAGU
rnacentral:rRNA from 1 species